CGAUGGGAGCUUGCUCCCAGGCGUCGAGCGGCGGACGGGUGAGUAAUGCAUAGGAAUCUGCCCGGUAGUGGGGGAUAACCUGGGGAAACUCAGGCUAAUACCGCAUACGUCCUACGGGAGAAAGCAGGGGAUCUUCGGACCUUGCGCUAUCGGAUGAGCCUAUGUCGGAUUAGCUAGUUGGUGAGGUAACGGCUCACCAAGGCCGCGAUCCGUAGCUGGUCUGAGAGGAUGAUCAGCCACAUCGGGACUGAGACACGGCCCGAACUCCUACGGGAGGCAGCAGUGGGGAAUAUUGGACAAUGGGCGAAAGCCUGAUCCAGCCAUGCCGCGUGUGUGAAGAAGGCCUUCGGGUUGUAAAGCACUUUCAGUGAGGAAGAAGGCUUGUGGGUUAAUACCCUGCAAGAAGGACAUCACUCACAGAAGAAGCACCGGCUAACUCCGUGCCAGCAGCCGCGGUAAUACGGAGGGUGCGAGCGUUAAUCGGAAUUACUGGGCGUAAAGCGCGCGUAGGCGGCUUGAUAAGCCGGUUGUGAAAGCCCCGGGCUCAACCUGGGAACGGCAUCCGGAACUGUCAGGCUAGAGUGCAGGAGAGGAAGGUAGAAUUCCCGGUGUAGCGGUGAAAUGCGUAGAGAUCGGGAGGAAUACCAGUGGCGAAGGCGGCCUUCUGGACUGACACUGACGCUGAGGUGCGAAAGCGUGGGUAGCAAACAGGAUUAGAUACCCUGGUAGUCCACGCCGUAAACGAUGUCGACUAGCCGUUGGGGUCCUCGAGACCUUUGUGGCGCAGUUAACGCGAUAAGUCGACCGCCUGGGGAGUACGGCCGCAAGGUUAAAACUCAAAUGAAUUGACGGGGGCCCGCACAAGCGGUGGAGCAUGUGUUUAAUUCGAUGCAACGCGAGACUUACCUACCCUUGACAUCGAGCGACU
rnacentral:rRNA from 1 species